rnacentral:rRNA from 1 species
GAUUUCUGGCUCGGGGCGCCUGGCCCGCCUCGAAAGAGUGUGUGUUGUCGGCGUGCCCCGGUCAUCCUUCUGGAGAACGCCCCUGCCCUUCACUGGGUCGGGGGCGGGAUCCAGAUCGUUUACUUUGAAAAAAUUAGAGUGUUCAAAGCAGGCUUUACGCUGUGAAUACAUUAGCAUGGAAUAAUAAUUUAGGACUUCGGUUCUAUUUUGUUGGUUUCUAGGACUGAAGUAAUGAUUGAUAGGGAUAGUUGGGGGUGCUAGUAUUCAGCGGCCAGAGGUGAAAUUCUCGGAUUCGCUGAAGACUAACUUAUGCGAAAGCAUU